rnacentral:rRNA from 1 species
GACGAACGCUGGCGGCGUGCUUAACACAUGCAAGUCGAACGGUGAAGCGCCUUCCUUUUUGGUGGGUGUGGAUGAGUGGUGAACGGGUGAGUAACACGUGAGUAACCUGCCCCCUUCUUCUGGAUAACCGCAUGAAAGUGUGGCUAAUACGGGAUAUUCUGGGUCUGUCGCAUGAUGGGUCUGGGAAAGAUAUUGUUUCGGUGGGGGAUGGGCUCGCGGCCUAUCAGCUUGUUGGUGGGGUGAUGGCCUACCAAGGCGGUGACGGGUAGCCGGCCUGAGAGGGUGGACGGUCACACUGGGACUGAGACACGGCCCAGACUCCUACGGGAGGCAGCAGUGGGGAAUAUUGCACAAUGGGCGCAAGCCUGAUGCAGCGACGCCGCGUGAGGGAUGGAGGCCGUCGGGUUGUGAACCUCUUUCGCCAGUGAAGCAGGCCUGCCUCGUUUGUGGGUGGGUUGACGGUAGCUGGAGAAGAAGCGCCGGCUAACUACGUG